rnacentral:lncRNA from 1 species
UCCAAUUCCAAUCGAUGCAUAUUUUUUAUUAGCUAUUUACUCCACUGCUAUCGGUUACAAUAAUUCAUUCCCAUACCUUACCCCUCUCUCGAUCAAUUGUCUACAUAGCUAAACUUCUCAAUACCUCUAUGUACCUCGCAAACAUGGUAAAACUUCUCCCAAAUUAUAUGGUACAGCCUGCAUACUUCGUAGUACAGAAAACAAAUAACAAGAUGACUCCUGUCGGCUCGCCAAAUUCAUGUCUUCGUUUUAUUCAAACACAACUAUAUAGAGGUACAUGCACCAUAUAACACAAGGUACAACAUUCUCUGAAAGAACGUACGAAUUCUCGUCACAAUUCAGAUGUUGGUUAAUCUAUACGUUUACUUGUCAUAGUUCUCGUGGUACAAACGUAUAGCUUUAUCACCUAAUAGUGUAACCAUAUAUGGCUCAAAAUCCCCUGCUGGAGCAAAGGAAGCGAAGGCCUUGAGCAUAGCUUUGUUUUUGCCCAGGUUUCAUGGCGAGAGAGGUGAUAGUGGAGGUGGGCAUGGAGAUGGAACAUUCGGAUCGUUUGUGUUGCACGCAGGACCUACGGCCUGAGCAUCUUGUUGCAUGGCAGCUGUGGAUUGAACUCCAUGUGGAUCACCCAAAGCACGCCUCCCUGGUGGAAAAAUUCAUGUGAGCACAAAAUAAUCUACAGAUGAGAUGCUCAUUAUCUGCUCGAUCAUAUAAGAUGCUUUAAAUUAACAAUUGUCAGUUAACUCAAGUUUAUUUUUAGAAGGCCAGAUGAGGCGACUCUCGAAGAAAAAUUUGCUCUUUUUUUUUUCAAGAUAGUGGAAAUGGUUUACAUCUCCCGUCUUUGCCGUAUCAUGGGACGUUACGGCCGGCCAAAGAAAAUUUUGUUUCUAACCUGAAAUUGAAGAGGAAAAAAAAUAUAUAUGUGGGGAUAAGGAUCUCAACUGUACCUAUACUGAGCCCCAGCAAAGCUGUUGGCAUAGCAAGAACAAUUAGAACUGCUAGCACAGUCACCAAGAUAAGGGAGUGUGUAGAGAACCUUCGCUUGUUCAUCUCUGUUUCUCUUUUAACUUCACCGUUGUAUUUUAUCUACCCUUCACCUUAUGCUUAGCUGGUUUGUUUUAGCUUGCCUUCUUGCUAUCUCUUAUACCGACCAUCCAAAGGAAUUCUCUCAAAGGAUAAGGCGUAAAAAGG